CCCCCCCCCCCCCCCUGCCACUCCAGCCUCCAGUCCGUGCCCAACAUCCCCUUCUACUUCUUCUUCAACGCCCUGCUGCUCGUGCUCACCCUGAUGAACAUCUACUGGUUCCUGUACAUCGUGCUGUUCGUGGCCAAGGUGCUGCUGGGGCAGAUGCAGGAGGUGAACGAUGUCCGUGAGUACGACCUGGAGGAGAGCAGGAAACCCGGCAAGGAGCCCGGGAUCCAACUGCCGCGGGCUCUGAAGGAAGGGUACGUGCAAUGCCAGACUGGUUUGGGUCAGAAAACCCUAAAGCACCUCCAGCUCCACACCUGGGACAUCCCCAUGAGCCCGGGCUCUGGUUUUGGGCAUCCCCAGCGAUCCAGGGGCAGCCACAGCUGCUCUGGGAACUCCAUCCCAUUCCCAGCCGGGAAUCCCUGCCCAAUAUCCCACCCAAAUCUCCCUUUUCCCAGUUUAAAUCCACUCCCUGUGUCCUGUCCCUCCAGGCCUUGUCCCCAGCUCCCCUGGAGCCCCUUCAGGCCCUGCCAGGGCUCUGAGCUCUGCCUGGAGCUUUUCCCUGGGGCUGGAGCCACCAAAGCGCACAAAUCUGGGGACAGGAGUGACCCUGGCAGGGAAAUGAGGGAGGGAUUUGCUGUGUUCAGGGGUUGGAGCCACCAAAGUGCACAAAUGUGGGGGCAGGAGUGGCACCAGCAGGGCACUGAGGGAGGGAUUUGUGUGUUUGGGGCUGGAGCCCCCGAAGCGCACAGAUCUGGGGGCAGGGCACUGAGGGGGCUCUGUGUGCUCAGGGCUGACCCCGGGCUCUGCUCUCCCCCAGGCUGCACCUCAAGAACGGCCUCGUCAAGGACAAGAGGUUGUGAGGGCGGCGCGGCCGCAGGGCUGGCACUGCCCAGGAACCCUGCCAAGGACAGGCCCGAGGAGAACUGUCCCCCUGCCCCCCUGCCAGCCCUGGGGAGGACAGGCCAGGGCCAGGACAGGGCCCCUCGGGGCUGGGCUGUGCCCUGGCCCUGUCCCCUGCACCUGCGGGCUCCCAGUUUGGCCCAGUUUGGCCGGGACACUGGUGGCUGUGCUGGCCAGGUGGGACCUGGGGCUGCCUUCGUGUCCCCGGUGUUGCUCCACGUCCCCAGCCCCACUGUGACACCCCCGGACCCUCCCUCUGAGCCCUCCCAGCUGCUCCAGCCUGGGCAGCAGAGCUCCUGUCCUGCCCUGGGAAGGACCCCUGAGGCCAGCUGUGCUCCAGCUGUGCUCCAGCUGUGCCCCAGCUGUGCCCCAGGCCCUGCAGAGGUGACCUUGCAGGAGCCGCUGUCCCCUGCAGCUGCCACUGCCUGGGAAUGCACCUCAGGGGCUCCAGCCCAGCCCUCGGGAGAGGCCCAGGGGCUUCGAUUUGCUUGGGGAAAAAAUCCCCGUGUGGGUCUUGGAGAGGCUUAGAAAGGGUCCUGCAGGUCCCUGCUGGGGCAUUCCCCCCAGGACUGCCCCCUUGCUGGAGGANNNNNNNNNNNNNNNNNNNNNNNNNNNNNNNNNNNNNNNNNNNNNNNNNNNNNNNNNNNNNNNNNNNNNNNNNNNNNNNNNNNNNNNNNNNNNGGAUUUGGGGAAGAACAGAGAAUUUCUGCUCUCAGGGCUGGGAUUUUUGGGAGAACAGAGAAUUCCUGCUCCCAGGGUGUCAGAGGAGCCUCCCAGUGCUGGAAUUCCUGGUUUUCUGUGGGGUUUGCAGGGCAGGAAGGGAACUGAACCCCCGGGAUGGGCCGGAGCAGGGCUGGGGUGACCUUGGGGGGAUAAAACUGAAUUUCCCAGGGCUGGCAUUGAGCUGGGUGGCUCCGGCUGGCUCUGGGGGCUGUGACAUCGAGGUGGUGGUGGCAGCUCUGCUGUGAUGGCCAGGAAGGGUCUGGGGGACCUGGGGGUGCCUGGGGGGGCAGGACCCGGUGCUGGGUGGGGACUGGGGGCUUUGGGGCCGGUGGUUUUAGGGCCGGUGGUUUUUGGGGCCGUGCGAAGCAGGACUUUGGUGGUUUGAUGUGCUGGAGGUCGAUGGCUUUAAGAGAGAAGCGUUGGACGCCGUGAUUGAGUUAAAAAAGGGGAAUUUUUUUGGGGAGGAACAGCCGGCUGCGCCCGGCUCCAGGCAGCGCUUUUGGGAGCAGCGCUGGAUUUCCAUCCUCAUCCUGAGCCCACAUUGAGUUAAAAAAGGGAUUUUUGGGAGGAAUAGCCAGAUCCAGGUCUGCCCCCAGCUCUGGGCAGGGUUUUUAGGAACAACGCUGGAUUCCAUCCUCAUUCUGAGCCCACAUUGAGUUAAAAAGGGAUUUUUUUGGAGGAAGAGCCAGCGCCAGGUCUGCCCCCAGCCCCGGGCAGGGUUUUUAGGAACAACGCUGGAUUUCCAUCCUCAUCCCGACGCCACGGACCGCGCUGGAGCCGCAGCGGGCGCUCCGGAGCUGCGGGAGAGCCGGCGGAGCCCUGAAAGGGUUAAGGGGUGCGGGAGCCGCAGGGAUCCCACCCAGAGCCGAGAUCCCGCGGCGCUGAUUGAGCUCCGAGCCCAUCAAAGGCUCCGCUCGCGGCCGCAGCCCCCGGCGCCGCUCUUUGUGAGCACAGCAGCGAUGUGGAUGUGGCUCCUCCGCGGCCUCGCCUGGGUUCUGCUCAGCCCCGCGCUGGCCCCGGAGCCGGGCCCGCAGGAAAAUUCCCUGCUCAGGUCGCUGGGGCUGAGCGCCAAGCCCAGCCCCAAGAGCCCCGCGCCCGUGCCGCCCGUGCUCUGGAGGAUCUUCCACAAGAGGAGGACGCUGCCCCGGCCGGAGGCAGAGCUGGAGCCCUGUAGGGUGGAGGAGCUCAACGUCCCCGGCAGCAUCGUCCGAGUCUUCGCCGACCAAGGUACAGCCACGGCCACGCCGCGCUUGGGCUCCCCCGGGCUCCGCUCCUUCCUUCCCCGUGUCCCGAGGCCGGAGCUGGAUUCCAGGGGAAAUCCCUGCGGGAUGGAGUCCUGUGGAUGCUGCCGGUGAUGGUUGAUGGGUUUGGAACCCCGAGAUGGGCGGUGAGGGGGGCAGCUGGGCCUGGCUCGGUCCUGGAGCCCCCUAAAUCCCUCCCGAGGCGCUGCUUUGAUCCCAGUCCCGAUCCCAGGGAUGGGAUGCUCGACCCCCGGGCUGUGUCCCCCCUCCUCAUUGUCCCAGCGCCUCCGGCUGACCCCGGGGCACAUCUGGCUGACCCCGGAGCACAUCUGGCUGCCCUGAGCCGUUCGCACUCCCCUGGGGACUGUCUGAUUGGUGUCCCUGAGGGCUCAAAGCAUCCCAGAGCUCUUUUCUCUCGUGGCCCCAGUCUGGCUCGGGCUGGCUAAACCCAAAUUCGCUGCUGUUCGCCCUCUUUUCCCCGAUCCUGCCCAGCCCUGGGGUUCCCCAUCCCUGGAGCUGAUCCUGCUCACCCCGAGGGUUCCAGGAGCUGAUCCUGCUCAUCCCAAGGUUUUCCCAUCCCUGGAGCUGAUCCUGCUCAGCCCAAGGUUUUCCCAUCCCCGGAGCCGAUCCUGCUCAUCCCAAGGGUUCCCCCAGCCCAUCCCUGGAGCCGAUCCAGCCCAGCCCCGCGUCCAGCCGCCCCCAGCGCUGUUUCUCCUUCCUCGCCAGGCCGCUUCCUGCCCGCGGGGCCCCCCCCCGGCCGCC
rnacentral:lncRNA from 1 species